CACAAGAUACCAACGUUAACCACAAACCUCCAGAGAUGCUUUGCUGGCUCCUUUUCUUUUUGCGGCUUUAUCCUGAGUGUGUGGUCCUCUCUUCCUGAAGAGGCUGAAUCACCCCCCUGCUCGUGCCGAGAAGUCCUUCCUGGAUGCCAUACCACAUCUCUUCUUCAUUUGUUUUCAGAGGGAGAUGCUUGGGCCCUUUCUUUAGAGAAGUUUUCUGGCAUCUGACCCUGGUUAUGUGGGCCCAGAAGAGAAGCCCAGG